GAUGAACGCUGGCUACAGGCUUAACACAUGCAAGUCGAGGGGAAACGACGGGGAAGCUUGCUUCCCCGGGCGUCGACCGGCGCACGGGUGAGUAACGCGUAUCCAACCUGCCUCUGACUGAGGGAUAACCCGUCGAAAGUCGGCCUAAUACCUCAUGGCAUCGUCUGCGGGCAUCCAACGACGAUUAAAGAUUUCAUCGGUCAGGGAUGGGGAUGCGUCUGAUUAGCUUGUUGGCGGGGUAACGGCCCACCAAGGCUACGAUCAGUAGGGGUUCUGAGAGGAAGGUCCCCCACAUUGGAACUGAGACACGGUCCAAACUCCUACGGGAGGCAGCAGUGAGGAAUAUUGGUCAAUGGGCGGGAGCCUGAACCAGCCAAGUAGCGUGCAGGAUGACGGCCCUAUGGGUUGUAAACUGCUUUUAUGCGGGGAUAAAGUGAGGGACGUGUCCUUCAUUGCAGGUACCGCAUGAAUAAGGCCGGCUAAUUCCGUG
rnacentral:rRNA from 1 species